UAAAUAUAACCAUGAGACCGAUAGUAAACAAGUACCGUGAGGGAAAGUUGAAAAGAACUCUGAAUAGAGAGUUAAAUAGUACGUGAAACUGCUUAGAGGUUAAGCCCGAUGAACCUGAAUAUCCAAUAUAGAAAAUUCAUCAUUAAGAUUUUAAUAUUUAUAAAUAUUUUAAUAAAAGUGUGCAUUUUUUCUAUUGAGGACAUUGUAAUCUAUUAAUAGAAGUUGUAUUUAUCAUAAGAUCAAUUGCGCAAGUUUAUUCAAAUUAUUUUGCUUGCAAUUUAACAUAGAAUAAAUGCUUUUGAUUUGAUAAAGUAUUGAUAGAUUCAUUAUAUAUAGUGCUGGAAUAUUUUAAUAUUCUAUAAUAUCAUAUAAAUUAGUAAUUUUUAUGUUCAUUUUAUGCACUUAUAUGAUUAACAAUGCGAAAGAUUCAGGAUACCUUCGGGACCCGUCUUNNAA
rnacentral:rRNA from 1 species